ensembl:rRNA 5S_rRNA 5S ribosomal RNA
AUCUACAGCCAUACCACCCUGAACAUGCCCGGUCUCGUCCGAUCUCAGAAGCUAAGCAGGAUCAGGCCUGGUUAAUACUUAAAUUGGGGGGAAGAAAGAGGGAAAGAGAGAGAGAGAGAGAGACUGAGACUGCAGGCC